AUAGGUGCUAAUACCGCAUAAGCGCACAGCUUCGCAUGAAGCAGUGUGAAAAACUGAGGUGGUAUACGAUGGUUCCGCGUCUGAUUAGCUAGUUGGUGGGGUAAAAGCCUACCAAGGCAACGAUCAGUAGCCGGCCUGAGAGGGUGAACGGCCACAUUGGGACUGAGACACGGCCCAAACUCCUACGGGAGGCAGCAGUGGGGAAUAUUGCACAAUGGGGGAAACCCUGAUGCAGCGACGCCGCGUGAGUGAAGAAGUAUUUCGGUAUGUAAAGCUCUAUCAGCAGGGAAGAAAUACUGACCAUAGGGUCAGCAGACGGUACUCGACUAAGAAGCCCCGGCUAACUACGUGCCAGCAGCCGCGGAAAUACGUAGGGGGCAAGCGUUAUCCGGAUUUACUGGGUGUAAAGGGAGCGU
rnacentral:rRNA from 1 species